UACGUAGGUGGCAAGCGUUAUCCGGAAUUAUUGGGCGUAAAGGGUGCGUAGGCGGCCUUUUAAGUCAGAUGUGAAAGCCCACGGCUUAACCGUGGGACUGCAUUUGAAACUGGAGGGCUUGAGUAUCGGAGAGGGUAGUGGAAUUCCCAGUGUAGCGGUGGAAUGCGUAGAUAUUGGGAGGAACACCAGUGGCGAAGGCGACUACCUGGACGAAAACUGACGCUGAGGAACGAAAGCUAGGGGAGCAAACAGGAUUAGAUACCCUGGUAGUCCCUGAGCGGG
rnacentral:rRNA from 1 species